rnacentral:lncRNA from 1 species
CAGCAAAUCAGCUGCCUUGCUCCAACACUCUGGCAAGAACUUGGAUUUCAAACUAGUGAAAGAACUAGGGCAAAGGAUUGGGACUCUGGAAGAAAACAGGAAAAUGACAGAGAACCCUGUUUAAGCAUGGAAGGGACAGGAGGCACAGGGGAACCGGAGGUGGGUGGGCCCUGUCCACAGUGAGGGCACAUGCCCAGCGCCCCUGCAGGGCUGCUCAUUCCAUCCACUCACAGAAACCACCACCACAGCGACCCUCACGUUGCUGCUGCUCUGCCCAGGCUCCCCGAGCAGAGCGAUCUUUCAGCUUUAAUGCUCCUCCCCUCCCGCACCUCGGUGACACACACAGGGCCCGGUGAAUAGAGGACGUUUAAUAUUUCUGUGCUGGUCAAACGGAACACAGGUGGGGAAUACAUGGGGAGGGGGCGGAGGGCCCCCUGCCUCUCAGGAGGGGUGGCUUGUGAGGGGUGUAUGCGGGGGUUCUUGGGAAAUAUCCAAGGAGUCUUCUCAGUAAAGGGGCCAGGCCAGGGGUGUUAUGAGCAUCCGAUAGGCCCAGUCCUUGGCCUUGAGUUGGGGGUCCCCCAUAGGGGGUCUGUGGAGAGUCUGACUUUUUUCCAGCUCUUUUGCUAGAAUCCACACUCCCAGCACGACGGGUGACUUGGUCCUAGAGAGGGGUCUGGAGAGCCCCCAGGAAGCAGCCCAGGGUCAGGGAGAAGGGCUCCCGUGCCCACUCCUGAGGGGGUGAGAGCCCACUUUCUCCCCUCCUUUCUCCUUCCCCCAGGCUGGGCAGGAGCGGAAGGGAGGGGGGCAGGGCCCUGCCUCCACUGAGCCCCAGGGUCCUCGGGGUGGAUGGAGGAGGGGUGGAGAGAGAAGGUCUUGGCCACCAACAGACACUGUAAACUUUGGUUUAAAACAAUAACUUAAGUGGAGGGAGGGCUCCAGCCUGGGGCCGGGGUGGGAGACUGGGAGGGCAGGUGCUGGGGAGGCGACAAAGGAAAAAGCCAACAAAAAGUUUUGGUUUUUGCUUCCGGCAUAAGAAAGGUCUUUGGUCAUCCGUUUAACUGGGGGGGCGGCGGGGGGAGAGGCGGGCAAGGAAGGGGAGCUGAGGGUGACUGCAGAGGAAGGGGAGCUGAGGGAGGGUGAGAGGACUGCAGAGAGGCCUGCAGGCUGGAUGUGAGUGUGGAGCCGGGGUCCAGCCUGGCCUUCCCCUGGGCUCCCGGCCCAGGCUCCCGCCUCUGGCCUCAGGGAGAGCUUGGCUCCACCUGCAGAAGCGCACCUGGCACAGACCUCUGUGGGUGAGGCGGUACCAGGCCUCUUCCCAUGGGGGCGGCUGGAGGAGCCCCCAGCAAACGGGGGUGGGGGUGGAGGCCUGGCUCAGCCUGGUUCUGUCUCAGGUUGGGGGCGGGUCUGGAGCCAGGUGGGCCUGCUCACACGGACCCCCACAGGGCACACAGACAGUCCCACCCCAGCAGCAGAGGGGGCUGUUUCUUCUGGGGAUGGAGGCACAGUUCCUCCACCCAGGCCAGGGCAGGGUGGGAGCUGGGGUGGAGAGUUCUUUCUUCACAGUACGGAAAAGAAGGCGAAAGGGAGCACGAGUUAGGAAAGUGGGGGCCUCUGGCCAGAAAACACGGCCAGAGCCAGGUGCCAGGGGGCCCUGGGUUUGAGAGGGGUGGCUAAGCCCCGCCUGCGGGUCUCCAUGAUGCUGAGGGGCCCUGUGGGGAGAGCUGGUGGGGGAGGAGGGCCCUGCUGCUGCUGGUGGUUGGGGGGAGGCGGUUUCAGAUGUGGGGAGGGUCUGAGGAGGGGUCUGAACCCUCUGUGUCCUCUACUGGUCCAAGACCAGGGGUUGUGUCCCUGGGGGUGGCGACCGUCCCUGCCCCUACGUGUUUUUGUCAGGUCACACUGGGAGCUGCUGGCCCGGGCCUCCCCCGUCUGAGUCCUGGACUUGCCUUGAGGCUCGGGAGGGGCUGUGGAGUUGGGGGAGAUGGGGCCUGGAUUCUGGAAGGGAGGGGUCUCACCCCAGCCCUGCCGGUCACUACAGGCCCUUAGGACAGUUCUUCUCCCGGCAGCUCCUCCUCCAGGUCCCUGUCUUCCGGAGGCCCCGAGGCGCUGGGGUUAGGGGCGCCUAGGGGAGGCCCGGGCUGCCUGUCUUCCUCUGCCUCUGCCGGCUCCUCCUUCACCUGCACCUGGUGGCUGAGGGCUGAUCUCCCCUAGGGCUCUCUUCAAAGAAAAGCUGGUCCUGGG